UAAAAAAGUCUUCCAAAUACAAACAGAAGCAAAAAAAUGUUUGCUGGUUAUUUAGCAACCUUUAUGCUGCGUACCAAAUGGAAAGGAAAAGAUGGCUUUAAGUUAUUUAUGCAAUAUGCAGCUAAAUUGUAUUCUGAUGAUUCUACUACAGAUGUAACUGAAACAAAACGUUUAAAGAGUGCUUGAAUAGGGGUCUCAUCAACUAUGUCUGUGGAGAAGUUUAAGUUUGGGGAGUCUACACUGAAUGUAAAGUUACAUGCCUGUGAAAUAGUUUUUUAAAUGUGUUAGAGUGUCGAUUUAAAAGUAUAAUUUAUUACCGUGUUGUUUAAUGGGGUGGAGCAAAUUUGGUGAUGUGUGGUGUUCUCUUCUGUUUUAAUUGAGUUUUCAGUUUCGUCGAUUAUUGUUUUUGAUAUUAGUUCCUAAAGUUUGUUGUUUUCCUUGUAAUUAGUAAUUGAAAGUUUUAUUAUAGUAAUAGUUAUAUUUACAUCGGUUAAUAUUGAUAGGUUUUGGAAAGUUGUUAUGAGAUCCCGGUUAGUUGAUUUUGUUUCUUCUUGUCCUAAUGCUAUUGUUAAUUUCUAAACCAGAAAUGGAAAAAUAGUAUGAAGUUAAAUAUAUGUGAUGUUAUUAAUAA